ACUCCGCCACCGUGUUCACACCUCUAUAUGUGUCUUCGCAUCACAGACUUCUGAAUCAGAGCAUUAAGCUUUUGAUUUAUGCCUUAUUAAUCUCUCCUUUCUUUUAGGUGAAAGGCCUGAACAAGCUCGGAAGCAUUCGUCGGCCGGAGUCGCUUCCCCUGCAGAGAUGAGUUCGUCAAAUAAUUGGAAGGGGAAAAACUGCAUCAGAGAUAACUUGAGUUAUGGAAGCAAGUAUGCUUCUGAUGAAAACAAGAAGAAGAAGAGUGAUGGAAAUGGAAAUAAUGCAUCAAAGGGCUCAUCUUCCUCCUCAAAGGGAAGCACCAAGAAGCAGAUAGGGGACCUUAUAGGCUACGGGAGUAAGAGGCCGCCACCACCCCAAAAGUAAACAAUGCUUCUUGUCUCUGCAUCACUCCAUUUUCUGGAGUUUUGAUGUUGUGUGAGGGUUGUGUGUUGUUUGUGUCUCAUUUUAAUAUGCUUUAAGAGUUUUAGUAGUUUUGCCACUUUAAUUAAAGCCGUGUGCUGUUUAGUUGUGUAUUUCAUGGUUUCACCUUUAGACUGUAGGCUUUCAGAAUAAAGCAUUGUUUGAUGAUUGUGUGUUGUU